UACGAAGGGGGCUAGCGUUGCUCGGAAUCACUGGGCGUAAAGCGCACGUAGGCGGGUUGCCAAGUCGGGGGUGAAAUCCUGGAGCUCAACUCCAGAACUGCCUUCGAUACUGGCGAUCUUGGAGUCCGGGAGAGGUGAGUGGAACUGCGAGUGUAGAGGUGAAAUUCGUAGAUAUUCGCAAGGACACCAGUGGCGAAGGCGGCUCACUGGCCCGGUACUGACGCUGAGGUGCGAAAGCGUGGGGAGCAAACAGG
rnacentral:rRNA from 1 species